UCUUUAUAUAUUUCAUGUUUAAUGUUUAUAACCACGGAUAAGAGGUAUAUAAAGCAAGCCAGGGUAUCGCAAGUUGCAUUCAGUCUGAAAAUAUCAUUUACUCGUACAAUUGUUAUUCAUUUAAAAAAUUAAGAUGAAAGGAUUUUUAUUUAUUUUCGCUAUUGUAAUGGCGCUGUUGUCUUUAACUUCGACAGUAAUGUCUGAGGACUUAGAAGCCGGUCCUGUACUUCAAAGGUUGAAACGUGAAAAUAAAUGUGAUUAUUGGGAGUGCGAUCGCCUCUGUCGCAGGCUGGAAUUCCCCGGCGGAGCAUGUGUUGGGAAUAAGUGUGAUUGUGAUAAAUUUUAGUUAACAUCCUACAAUUUCAAUAAUAAAAUCGAUUCACGUUAA